rnacentral:misc_RNA from 1 species
UCCUGGUUAACCCAGGCAGUCUCAUUAGAGUUCCCACCUUCACGUGUUGGCAACUAAUGAUAAGGGUUGCGCUCGUUGCUGGACUUAACCAAACACCUCACGGCACGAGCUGACGACAGCCAUGCAGCACCUGUGCAGAGGUCCCGAAGGACUAAAACAUUUCUGCUUUAUUCCUCUGCAUGUCAAGUCUGGGUAAGGUUUUUCGCGUAGCAUCGAAUUAAACCACAUACUCCACUGCUUGUGCGGGUCCCCGUCAAUUCUUUUGAGUUUCACCCUUGCGAGCGUACUCCCCAGGCGGUAUACUUAUCGCGUUCGCUUCGGCACAACUAGGGUUGAAUCCAGUUACACCAAGUAUACAUCGUUUACGGCAAGGACUAC